GAUGAACGCUGGCGGUAUGCCUAACACAUGCAAGUCGUACGAGAGUUUUUAAUUCUAGUGGCGGACGGGUGAGUAACACGUGAGAAUUUACCUUUAGGAGGGGGAUAACAAUUGGAAACGAAUGCUAAUACCCCAUAUGCUUUUGAGUGAAAUGGAUUUAUAAUUAUCCGCCUAAAGAAAAGCUCGCGGCUGAUUAGCUUGUUGGUAAGGUAAGAGCUUACCAAGGCGACGAUCAGUAUCUGGUUUGAGAGGACGAUCAGACACACUGGAACUGAGACACGGUCCAGACUCCUACGGGAGGCAGCAGUGGGGAAUUUUCCGCAAUGGGCGAAAGCCUGACGGAGCAAUACCGCGUGAGGGAAGACUGCCUAUGGGUUGUAAACCUCUUUUUUCAGGGAGGAAUAAAUGACGUGUACCUGAAGAAUAAGCAUCGGCUAACUCCGUG
rnacentral:rRNA from 1 species